UGGGGAAUAUUGGGCAAUGGGCGCAAGCCUGACCCAGCCAUGCCGCGUGAGUGAUGAAGGCCUUCGGGUCGUAAAGCUCUGUGGAGGGGGAAGAAACCUCUUGUGGCUAAUAUCCACGAGAAUUGACGGUACCCCUUUAGCAAGCACCGGCUAACUCCGUGCCAGCAGCCGCGGUAAUACGGAGGGUGCAAACGUUGCUCGGAAUCAUUGGGCGUAAAGCGCACGUAGGCGGCUCGUUAAGUCGGAUGUGAAAGCCCUGGGCUCAACCCAGGAAGUGCAUACGAAACUGGCGAGCUUGAAUAUGGAAGAGGGUCGCGGAAUUCCCGGUGUAGAGGUGAAAUUCGUAGAUAUCGGGAGGAACACCAGUGGCGAAGGCGGCGACCUGGGCCAAUAUUGACGCUGAGGUGCGAAAGCGUGGGGAGCAAACAGGAUUAGAUACCCCCGUAGUCC
rnacentral:rRNA from 1 species